rnacentral:rRNA from 1 species
UACGGGGGGUGCAAGCGUUGUUCGGAUUUACUGGGCGUAAAGGGCGCGUAGGCGGCCACCGCAGUUCGGUUGUGAAAUCUCCGGGCUUAACCCGGAAAGGUCAAUCGAUACUGCGGGGCUAGAGUGCAGAAGGGGCAACUGGAAUUCUCGGUGUAGCGGUGAAAUGCGUAGAUAUCGGGAGGAACACCAGUGGCGAAGGCGGUUGCCUGGAGCUUUGCUGACGCUGAGGCGCGAAAGCGUGGGGAGCGAUCCGG